rnacentral:rRNA from 1 species
UACGUAGGGGCCAAGCGUUGUUCGGAUUUACUGGGCGUAAAGGGCGCGUAGGCGGCAAUUCAAGUCAGCUGUGAAAUCUCCGGGCUUAACUCGGAACGGUCAGCUGAUACUGCUUUGCUAGAGUGCAGAAGGGGCAAUCGGAAUUCUUGGUGUAGCGGUGAAAUGCGUAGAUAUCAAGAGGAACACCUGAGGUGAAGACGGGUUGCUGGGCUGACACUGACGCUGAGGCGCGAAAGCUAGGGUAGCAAACGGG